rnacentral:rRNA from 1 species
AUUGAACGCUGGCGGCAGGCCUAACACAUGCAAGUCGAGCGGAUGAAGGGAGCUUGCUCCUGGAUUCAGCGGCGGACGGGUGAGUAAUGCCUAGGAAUCUGCCUGGUAGUGGGGGAUAACGUCCGGAAACGGGCGCUAAUACCGCAUACGUCCUGAGGGAGCAAGUGGGGGAUCUUCGGACCUCACGCUAUCAGAUGAGCCUAGGUCGGAUUAGCUAGUUGGUGGGGUAAAGGCCUACCAAGGCGACGAUCCGUAACUGGUCUGAGAGGAUGAUCAGUCACACUGGAACUGAGAAACGGUCCAGACUACUACGGGAGGCAGCAGUGGGGAAUAUUGGACAAAGGGCGAAAGCCUGAUCCAGCCAUGCCGCGUGUGUGAAGAAGGUCUUCGGAUUGUAAAGCACUUUAAGUUGGGAGGAAGGGCAGUAAGUUAAUACCUUGCUGUUUUGACGUUACCAACAGAAUAAGCACCGGCUAACUUCGUG